rnacentral:rRNA from 1 species
GAUGAACGCUGGCGGCGUGCCUAAUACAUGCAAGUCGAGCGAACAGACGAGAAGCUUUCUCCUCUGCCGUUAGCGGCGGACGGGCGAGUAACACGUGGAUAACCUACCUAUAAGACUGGGAUAACUACGGGAAACCGGAGCUAAUACCGGAUAAUAUAUUGAACCGCAUGGUUCAAUAGUUAAAGACGGUUUUGCUGUCACUUAUAGAUGGAUCCGCGCCGCAUUAGCUAGUUGGUAAGGUAACGGCUCACCAAGGCGACGAUGCGUAGCCGACCUGAGAGGGUGAUCGGCCACACUGGAACUGAGACACGGUCCAGACUCCUACGGGAGGCAGCAGUGGGGAAUCUUGGGCAAUGGGCGAAAGCUUGACGGAGCAAUACCGCGUGAGUGAUGAAGGUCUUCGGAUCGUAAAGCUCUGUAGUUAGGAAAGAAAAGAAGUGUGAGAAACUCUGGAUGUUUUGACGGUACCUAAAGAAAAAGCAACGGCUAACUUCGUG